rnacentral:rRNA from 1 species
UAGCUUGUUGGUGAGGUAAUGGCUCACCAAGGCGACGAUCGGUAGCUGGUCUGAGAGGAUGGCCAGCCACACUGGGACUGAGACACGGCCCAGACUCCUACGGGAGGCAGCAGUGGGGAAUAUUGGACAAUGGGGGAAACCCUGAUCCAGCAAUGCCGCGUGUGUGAAGAAGGCCUGAGGGUUGUAAAGCACUUUCAGUGGGGAGGAGGAUUAACAGGUUAAGAGCUGGUUAAUUGGACGUUACCCACAGAAGAAGCACCGGCCAACUCCGUGCCAGCAGCCGCGGUAAUACGGGGGGUGCGAGCGUUAAUCGGAAUUACUGGGCGUAAAGGGUGCGUAGGUGGUUUAAUAAGUUAUCUGUGAAAGCCCUGGGCUCAACCUGGGAAGGUCAGAUAAGACUGUUAGACUAGAGUAUAGGAGAGGGUAGUGGAAUUUCCGGUGUAGCGGUGAAAUGCGUAGAGAUCGGAAGGAACACCAGUGGCGAAGGCGGCUACCUGGCCUAGUACUGACACUGAGGCACGAAAGCGUGGGGAGCAAACAGGAUUAGAUACCCCGGUAGUCCACGCCGUAAACGAUGUCAACUAGCUGUUGGUCAUAUAAAUAUGAUUAGUGGCGC